rfam:Cryptosporidium muris RN66 scf_1106632353999 genomic scaffold, whole genome shotgun sequence.
AAACUUACCUGGCCGGCGUUCGGGGUCGCUCAUGAAUGGCCCUGUCGUAAUCCUGAGCAGGGCACUGCACUCCGCCGUCUGUGAAGGGUUAUGGACUGGUAUUAUACCGGAUCCAACGGCAAAAUUUCUGUCAGCGGCGGCUACUUAUUGAGUAGCUGCCAA